rnacentral:rRNA from 1 species
AACGAACGCUGGCGGCGUGCUUAACACAUGCAAGUCGAACGGAAAGGCCCUGCUUGUGUGGGGUGCUCGAGUGGCGAACGGGUGCGUAACACGUGAGUAUCCUGCCCUUGACUUUGGGAUAACUUCAGGAAACUGGAGCUAAUACCAUAUAGGAUCUCCUGCUCCAUGGUGGGGGGUGGAUCGUUUCGGCGGUUGGGGAUGGACUCGCGGCUUAUCAGCUUGUUGGUGGGGUAGUGGCUUACCCAGGCUUUGACGGGUAGCCGGCCUGAGAGGGUGACCGGCGACAUUGGGACUGCGAUACGGCCCAGACUCCUACGGGAGGCAGCAGUGGGGAAUAUGGCACAACGGGCGGAAGCCGGAUGAAGAGACCUCGCGGGCGUGAUGACGGUCUUUGGGUUGUAAAAAGCAUUCGCCUGUGACGAAGCUUGAGUGACGGUAAUGAGAAAAGAAGCACCGGCUAACUACGUG